AUCAGUACAAUCCUUAAGGUGGUACCUAACACUACAGGGAGAUAACUCUGUAAAAUCAGCUAAACGUUUUAAUUACAUUGUGUUGUUAAGGGAAUAUUAAGCUUCUCAAUGAUCAAAAUAAGUGUUUGUCAAACUGCUAUAUAACCAGUGUAAUUUUUCUGAUAAAACGGUUGGUUCAAAUUUUUUGAAAUUUUUAUAUUUUUGUAAAAGGGUCAAAGUAAAUACUUUGUCAAAAUUUUAAGAAAAUUAAACGACCCAAAUUAAUUUUAGCUAAAGUGUUGGGUACCACCUUAAUUUCA
rnacentral:lncRNA from 1 species